UACGGAGGGGGCUAGCGUUGUUCGGAAUUACUGGGCGUAAAGCGCACGUAGGCGGCUUUGCAAGUCAGAGGUGAAAGCCCGGGGGCUCAACCCCGGAAUUGCCUUUGAGACUGCAUCGCUAGAAUUGUGGAGAGGUAAGUGGAAUCCGAGUGUAGAGGUGAAAUUCGUAGAUAUUCGGAAGAACACCAGUGGCGAAGGCGACUUACUGGACACAUAUUGACGCUGAGGUGCGAAAGCGUGGGGAGCAAACAGG
rnacentral:rRNA from 1 species